rnacentral:rRNA from 1 species
AAACAUAGCCCUAAGAAAUAAUUUAGGGUAAGAUCUGCCCAAUGAGAAAUCAAAUGGCCGCGGUACUCUGACCGUGCUAAGGUAGCAUAAUCAGUUGACUUUUAAAUGAAGUCUGGAAUGAAAGAAGAAACGGAAUCUAGCUGUUUCAACUUUUUUAAUUCUAAGUUACUAAUUAGGUGAAAAGGCCUAAAAAAGAUAAAAGACGAGAAGACCCUAAGAGUUUGUAUUUUUUUUUGUUGGGGCAACAAGAGACCAAAGAAUGUCUCAUUUUUUAUAAGACGGUUUUUUCAUGAUAAGAUAAACUACCUUAGGGAUAACAGCAUAAUUCUUUUUGAGUUUGUGACCUCGAUGUUGGACUAGGAAGCCUUUAGGCUAGCUGCCUAACAGGGGGAUUCUGUUCGAAUUUUUACUCCUACGUGAUCUGAGUUCAG